UACUGUCUUUGGGGACGAACGGUACUUAUGUAAAUAAUGUAGCUACAUGACGGUACCUGAGGAGGAAGCCCCGGCUAACUACGUGCCAGCAGCCGCGGUAAUACAUAGGGGGCAAGCGUUGUCCGGAAUCAUUGGGCGUAAAGGGGGCGUAGGCGGGUAAUUAACUCUGGUGUGAAAGGCAAGGGCUCAACCCCUGAAAGGCACCGAAAACUGGUUAUCUUGAGGACAGGAGAGGAAAGCGGAAUUCCACGUGUAGCGGUGAAAUGCGUAGAUAUGUGGAGGAACACCAUUGGCGAAGGCGGCUUUCUGGACUGUAACUGACGCUGAGGCGCGAAAGCGUGGGGAGCAAACAGGAUUAGAUACCCUGGUAGUCCACGCCGUAAACGAUGAGUGCUAGGUGUAGAGGGUAUCGACCCCUUCUGUGCCGCAGUUAACACAAUAAGCACUCCGCCUG
rnacentral:rRNA from 2 species